UGACGAUGACACUUAUACACAAUGUAUGCCCUACAAUUUUGUACCAGCUGAUGAUUUAAAUGCUACGACGACGUUGGUUAGGACAGAAUUUGAAGGAAACACUACUGCUUGAUUGUUACUGAUAAUAAUUAUUUAUGAUGUAUAUAUUUUGUAUUAAUUAUUGUGUUAUUUUACUCCAUAUAUUAACUGAUUCUACCUUUUAUUUAUAUAAAUGCUAGGUGACAUCAUGCGUCGCAGGGGACGAUAUGCUGGUGUGCAGUUCCAGUUUUCACAGACCGAGGUCGGUACGUCUUCUUUAACACAGCAGCCUGAGGCCAGUUCAGCUGCACAGCAUUCUAAGCCCUGUCCUUCAUCAUCAGCACAGCACGAUCCUCUUGUUCAUCAGCCAGAUGAUGAGAUACAUGUGCAGGACGGAUCCGGAAGAGUACGCCCCAGACGCGGACCCACAGUAGUACGAGAUGUAUGGCAGAUGCGUGAGGGCAAGAGAAUUGUUGUGGAGUGCAAUCAGCUAGGUCAGUCAAUUAAGAAAGCUACCUGCUUAUUGACUUUAUUUUUGGGGACUGUUGCUCGGAGGCCUCAGCUAUGUCCGUUGGGCUAUGCAAAAUGGAAUGACAUGCUUCCAACGUACAAAGUUGAGCUCCUCUGAGUUAUAGAGAGCAAGUUUGUUCUCCCUCCAUCCACUCAUGAUUUUAUAAUGAAGUCUCUCAACCGCAAAUGAAAAGAAUAUAGAGCACAAUUGAAGAGGGACUAUAUGAGACAGGGUAUGACAGAGGAGGAGGUUGCUAGGAAUUGUCCUCCUGAUGUACCUCCUCAUCAGUGGAUGGAGUUGGUUCAUUAUUGGUUCUCCGAGAGGGCACAGGUAUAUUAUCUGCUCAUUAUCUUUUCUUUUAAAUAUUUUAUAAAAAUAUUGAUUUAUAUUAUAUAUUAUAUAUUAUACA